rnacentral:rRNA from 1 species
AUUGAACGCUGGCGGCACGCCUAACACAUGCAAGUCGAGCGGUAACAUGUUUAGUAGCAAUACUAGAUGAUGACGAGCGGCGGACGGGUGAGGAAAACGUGGGAAUCUACCCUCAAGCGGGGGACAACCAAGGGAAACUUUGGCUAAUACCGCAUAAACUCGAGAGAGCAAAGCUGCCGGUAACGGUGGCACUUGAGGAGGAGCCUGCGUCCGAUUAGCUAGUUGGUGGGGUAACGGCCACCAAGGCGAUGAUCCGUAGCUGGUCUGAGAGGAUGAUCAGCCACACUGGGGCUGAGACACGGCCCAGACUCCUACGGGAGGCAGCAGUGGGGAAUAUUGGACAAUGGGCGCAAGCCUGAUCCAGCAAUGCCGCGUGAGUGAGGGAAGGCCUUAGGGUUGUAAAGCUCUUUCGCACGCGACGAUGAUG